rnacentral:rRNA from 1 species
CCUACGGGACGCAGCAGUGAGGAAUAUUGGUCAAUGGGCGGGAGCCUGAACCAGCCAAGCCGCGUGAGGGAAGAAGGUACAGCGUAUCGUAAACCUCUUUUGUCAGGGAACAAAGGCGGGGACUAGUCCCCGGAUGAGGGUACCUGAAGAAAAAGCAUCGGCUAACUACGUGCCAGCAGCCGCGGUAAUACGUAGGGGGUAAGCGUUAUCCGGAUUUACUGGGUGUAAAGGGAGCGUAGACGGCAGUGCAAGUCUGGAGUGAAAGGCGGGGGCUCUACCCCCGGACUGCUCUGGAAACUGGACGG